rnacentral:misc_RNA from 1 species
GAUGAAGAACGUAGCGAAAUGCGAUAAGUAAUGUGAAUUGCAGAAUUCAGUGAAUCAUCGAGUCUUUGAACGCACAUUGUGCCCCCUGGUAUUCCGGGGGGCAUGCCUGUCCGAGCGUCAUUGCUGCCCUCAAGCACGGCUUGUGUGUUGGGCCUCCGUCCUCCUCCCGGGGGACGGGCCCGAAAGGCAGCGGCGGCACCGCGUCCGGUCCUCGAGCGUAUGGGGCUUCGUCACCCGCUCUUGUAGGCCCGGCCGGCGCUUGCCGACACAUCAAUCUUUUUUCCAGGUUGACCUCGGAUCAGGUAGGGAUACCCGCUGAACUUAAGCAUAUCAAUAAGCGGAGGA